GAAAUGCGAUAAGUAAUGUGAAUUGCAGAAUUCAGUGAAUCAUCGAAUCUUUGAACGCACAUUGCGCCCCCUGGUAUUCCAGGGGGCAUGCCUGUUCGAGCGUCAUUUCACCACUCAAGCCUCGCUUGGUAUUGGGCAACGCGGUCCGCCGCGUGCCUCAAAUCGACCGGCUGGGUCUUCUGUCCCCUAAGCGUUGUGGAAACUAUUCGCUAAAGGGUGUUCGGGAGGCUACGCCGUAAAACAACCCCAUUUCUAAGGUUGACCUCGGAUCAGGUAGGGAUACCCGCUGAACUUAAGC
rnacentral:misc_RNA from 1 species